AUGAAGGCCCCGGCCCUGCAGCCUCCCGCCUGCAGAUGCAGAAGGGUCUCCAGCGAGCCCGGGUCUGGAGGCCUGCCCCGUCCAGCCGCAGAGAGGCCGCGGACGCGCAUUUCAAAGCCGCAUCUCAGAGCAGCGCACUUAAAAGCGCCAAGGAAAGCCUGGCUGAGGACCGCACUGCCCCGAAUCACCUGCGGCCAUUCUCUUGCAGGCUCAUCAACGUUCCCCGCUGUCGUCCCCUCUCCUGCGCCUCCUCGAGGGCGUUGGGGGCGCACCCCAGGGCUUUUCGGGGGCGGGAGCAGCUCCGGACCGAAGACCCGGAGGGGGUGCCUCGCACGCCCCCGCCCCCGCACCUGCCCGUACCCGGACCGCCCGGGACCUCUGCGGGCCUGGGGGCGUCUCCUGCGCGGGGCCCCCGGGGAUGGCGCGGCGCGGCGCGGGGCCUCCCGCAUGGUGUCCGCAGCGCUGCGGGGUCGAGCCGCACCAGCGGGAGGAGCGCGGGGGCCGAGGGCCCGGCAGGGGCAGUGGUCGCCGGUGCAGAGGCGCCCGCACCUCCCGCCAGUACCUUUUCCAGCUAAACGCCAGCCUGGAGCGCUUCCCCGCACGUCCCGCGCGCGUGGUUUUGUGCGGGGAGAACGGGGCGCCGCCGGUCAUUCACCGGUCUCCCGUCCUGCCCGCUCCCCAGGUACAGCCCCUCCGUCGUGGCCUCGGCCCCCGCCUUCCCGCGGCCGCGCUGCCGUCCGGGCAGAAGCCGCAGGUUGCAGACGCGGGUCUCGGGAGACUUCGCCGCCCGUCUCCCUGCGGGUUCCUCGGGGUCCUCUAGCGGCGCGUCCUCCAAAGCCCCCUGGCGCCCCCCUUGAGACGGAGGCUUUCAAAGUCGGGGCGCCUCCUGCCCACCUGCCCCGCGGCGGCGCCCGGAGCAUCCUCGGAGGCGGUGCCCCCCGGGCCCCAGGACGCCCCGCAUCCGCGCUCGCGGGCAACCCGGCCGCGCGCCGCAGACCCCAGCCCCGAAACUUCUCUGUGAAGCGGGCGGCCCGCCCGGAACGGACGCUCGGAACAACUCGCAAGGGAUUCCGAAGAGCCGCCGACCCAGAAACCCGCAUCCCUGCAGGGAGACCUGUGGAGUCCCGCCCGGGCGCAGGCUGCACUCUCGACGUGGCCUGA
rnacentral:lncRNA from 1 species